rnacentral:tRNA from 1 species
GGGCGCGUAGCUCAGCGGUAGAGCAGCCGUCUUAUACACGGCCGGUCGUAGGUUCGAUCCCUACCGCGCCCA